GAGCCUUGAGUGACCAGGCUUGCAGCUAGCUACCCAUGACUAAGUGCCUAAAUUUAGAUGUUUAUCAUCAUCAGUGUUGCAAGAUACUAUAGAAUUUAUAUUGUAACUAUGGCUUCUUGUUAAAGUUCACCUUAAAAAGCCUGUGCACUGGUGGUACCAUCACACUUCACUGCAGAAAAAGCAACACCACUUUCUGUGAUUUGCCACCUCUUUCUCUACAGUCGUCUGGAGGCAUGUGUGAGCUGAGUGGUGUUGAGAGUUGUUCACCAACGCCAGGAAGAGGGUGUUGAUCUUUACCAUAAGCAAGAUGCCAAAUCAAACCCCAAGAGGCUGAUACCUGAAGGAGCUGGUGGAUACCUGUCAGGCCAGGCCAUGUUCAAGUCUCACAACUCCAUUUCUUGGCAUUGGAUGCUGAAGAGAUAACCUGUCUCAGAAAAAGGCAGCAAAGGUUUAUGGCCUUUAAAACACUGCCUCAGCAUGCUGUGCAAACACUUGUUGUGAUAAUAGUUGUCCUCCUUUUGGAAUUUGUUGUGUACAGAACACUAAAAACAGGAAGGAGCUCUCUGACAAUCACCUGUUUGAGCAGGGCUGCAGUUCGUUGUGCUUCAUCAUUCAGGACGUGUUGGUUUGAAAUAAAGUUCUGUAUUGAUAUGGGACAUGAAAACUGUUGAAGCAUUUCAUAGCCAAUGCUCAUUUUGCUUUUUGUCUGAAGGCAGUGAUGUCCUCUUAUCCUGCUAGAAAACUAAAGCUUUUAUCACUUCCAGCUUGCAAGUUAAGUGUGCGUGUAUAAAGUUCUAUAUGCCUUAAGAAACAGUACUGUCAUGGCAUGGGAGGUUUAUAAGAUAAGGAACAGCUCAGAAAGGGUUAACGUGAUAUGACUGUUUCUGACACCUGUAGUUAAAAGAUCAAGGAGACAUGCCUACAUCAGUAGGUGGAAAGUUCAACAGUGGAGGUGUUUUUACGUACCAUGUGGAUAAUCUGUGUAACCCCUUGAGUCUGGAGGCAGUGAAUACUGAGUAUUCACAUGGCUUUAAAAAACCAGCUAGACAAAUUCAGUGAAGAAAUCAUCAGCAUCCAUUAAAUGUGAAGACAACAUUCCUCAUUCAGAGAGCCUCUGAGCUGCACAUUUCUGAUGCAGGGAAAGGCAACUCCCUGCUUCCCUGUUGUGCUGUUCAGCUGCGGCUGGCAACAAUCAGGAAUGUGGCACAGCACACAAUGAACUCAUGGCCUGACUCAGUAAAACUCUUGCAUUCUUAUGUCAUGCUACAUUAUUGAAUAGAAUCAGAAAGCUACUGUAAAGAUCCACUGCAGCUGAGAAAGACAAGGGGCUGGAGAACCUGCUCCACGACUCAUUUCUUUAUUUUGGUUGUUCAUUGGAGUGGCUUUUAACCAUAAGAGUUGUAGGUCUGGACCAUAAUGUAUUUCUUCAAUCUGUUGGGAUCUUAAGGAAUUUUCUGAGGUGUGGUAGUGGUUGAAUAGAAACCUCACAGGAGUUUUUCACAAAGAUCCAUGGCAUGUACAGGCAUUUUGAAAUGAAGCAUUCCCGUUUGAUUAUGCUCAAAUCAACAAAAGAGCCAGAUCAAGCUAAAACGAUUUGCAUUUUCUGAAGCUUACAUGUAUGUAAUCUUACCAGAUAAAAGCCACAACAAGCUUUGCAGAACAAAGGGCAGGGGAAGCUCCUUAUGCUGUUUGUAGUGAGAACAGCAAAAGCCUCGAUUCCCUCCCAUUA